AUUGAACGCUGGCGGCAUGCCUUACACAUGCAAGUCGAACGGUAACAGGUCUUCGGAUGCUGACCAGUGGCGAACGGGUGAGUAAUACAUCGGAACGUGCCUAGUAGUGGGGGAUAACUACUCGAAAGAGUGGCUAAUACCGCAUGAGAUCUACGGAUGAAUGCAGGGGAUCGCAAGACCUUGUGCUACUACAGCGGCCGAUGGCAGAUUAGGUAGUUGGUGGGAUAAAAGCUUACCAAGCCGACGAUCUGUAGCUGGUCUGAGAGGACGAUCAGCCACACUGGGACUGAGACACGGCCCAGACUCCUACGGGAGGCAGCAGUGGGGAAUUUUGGACAAUGGACGCAAGUCUGAUCCAGCCAUUCCGCGUGCAGGAUGAAGGCCCUCGGGUUGUAAACUGCUUUUGUACGGAACGAAAAGGUCUCUCCUAAUACGAGGGGCUCAUGACGGUACCGUAAGAAUAAGCACCGGCUAACUACGUGCCAGCCGCCGCCGUAAUAC
rnacentral:rRNA from 1 species